UGCGCAGUUACGAAUCCGAGUGCGAAUCAAUAAGUUUCCUGAAAAAGCGUCAGAUACAGUGGGAGUGUCGGCGAGCGACCCAUCUUCUCAUUAGCUGCGAAGAAAUCAGGGCCUGCGACCAUCAACUGAAAUACAAGAUGAGCAGUGACCAGCCAAACGAGGACCCUCAAAAUCAAAAGCCGUACCAGAAGAUCUACACUAUAGAGAAUCUCAAGAAGCUGACGGCGGAGCUGAUGAUGACGGACCAAGAUACGAAGUACCGCAACUUCGUGGUCUCGACUGCGUUCAGCGACAUGCGUCCUCACGAGGACACUGCUGACUAUGGGCUGGAACAAUUACACGACAAACCACGCUUCGACCCCGACAAGGCCAUGAUGUCUAUCUGAAUGCCCCCAUCUCACACGUCUUCGCGUUAAAUUGAUGAUUUGAUAUACACUUAUUGAUUCUACUCUACUGCUCUUGUCUUCUGGAAAUCUUUACAACUGUUUCAUGUCAAGCUGUCAAUUUAAUACACAAACAUAUUACUCAGUAGUGAUUGUAGAAUUUUGAACUCGUGCAUUGUAGCAAAUAAAAAAUUGAAAAAUGU